UUAGUUUUACCCUACUGACAAAGUAGAUACUGCGACAGUAGUCGAAGUUAGUACGAGAGGAACACUUCGUCCAGAUACUUGGUUAAUGCCGUUGUCUGAAAAGACAGUACGGCGAAGCUACCAUCUGCUGGAUUACGGCUGAACGCCUCUAAGCCGGAAUCCAUGCUGGAUAAGCAGUGUUGUACACCGUGCUCAAUGCUACAAGAAAAAGGCUAGGUCAGGCUUCGGCCUGACCAAAAUUCAAGCUGCUAUACCUCUGGCUGCAUUGACUUGUGGUCAGAGUGUAUGGUGAUCAUAGCAAUUGCAAGUAUUGGGCUCGAUAAAUCCUUUGAAGACGACUUAAUUGCAUCCGGGUAUUGUAAGUGUUGAGAGUAGGCUUAGUCUUACGAUCCACUGAGAUUCAUCCCGUGUUGCGCCGAUUUGU
rfam:Perkinsus marinus ATCC 50983 gcontig_1104296104181, whole genome shotgun sequence.